rnacentral:tRNA from 1 species
GGUGAGAUGGCUCAGUGGGUAAGGGCACUGACUGCUCUUCUGAAGGUCCUGAGUUCAAAUCCCAGUAACCA